rnacentral:lncRNA from 1 species
CCCACUUCAAAUCAAAAAGUUCAUCUUCCUCCAAUAUUUCUCUUUCUAAACUCAAGGAAGAAGAAGAAGGCAUGGAAGCUUGGGUUUGAGGAUUUCAAAAGAGCUUUUUCAUCAAUUUUCUUCAAGGUUUAUUAAUAUAGGGCAUCUUCACUCGACUGUUGAUAAAUCUCGCUUAGGAGAUCAGUGAUCUUUCGAAUUCAAGGGUGACUAGUUCUUCCGGGCUGCCUUGAGUUCUCUUUUGUUUAAGUCUACUAUUUUUUGACUCAGACUAUUGUUAAGGUCUUUAGGUUUGUUCUUCGGUUCAUAGUGAAAGAACCUGGUGAGGAGCCAUGUUCUCAUUACUGUAGUGAAAACUCAUACAGGUUUUCAAUACACUCCCUUCUUUCACUUUCAAUUGGUAAAUGACACUUUAGAUUGGUUAAUGAAACGGUAAAUAGUAAUUGAACCAGACAGACAGCAAACCUUUACUCCAUUACAAAAUGCGUUAUAGGUUCAAAUACUCACAUAUUGACGUGGAAACUCCUGAAUACGAGUCCCCCAUCAAACGGCAACACAGGUGAGAACAUACAUGCUCGGAAAUGAUGUUAGAAAGUCAUUUGCUGUGAUUGCUUGGUUAUAGCAGAAAGUAACUUCUUAAAGCAAAAAUAGUUAAAUGAGACUGUUCAUUCAGCAAGUAAGUCUAGUCGUUAUACGUCCAAAUACUCAAAACCUUUACAUACUAACUCUGUAUAUAGGGAUUUGAUUCUGUUUGUUGAAUUCCUUCCCAACACUAACUGCUAUAGUCAAUCUUCAUUGAGGUGGUCAAUGAUUAAGAUUCCGCACUAACUGAUUCAGCAUUUUUGGAAUCUCUGGAUCUUUCUGCAAAUUAAUAAUAUCAUAAAGGAUAUUUUGGUUCUGAACAUUAGCUAGAAGGAUGUUGUAUCUGUCAGAAGAAAGAAAACGAUGGACUUACAUGAAUAAUAUUGUGAAAAGUGUUACCAAUUAGCUGUAACAUGUUUCCCACUGUUUCGUAUACCCUGUAUUAUGAGGGGAGUUCAAAUCAAACAAUAAUGAAUUAGAGACAGAAUUCGACAUUACG